rnacentral:lncRNA from 1 species
GGGGCGUCAGUGUGAGUCCGGCCCAGCGCCGCACCGUGCUGCGGAGGAGCCAGACGGACUUGGGGUGCGGGCCGCCAGGCGCAGGCUCCGGGACACCACACCUCCGGGCCCUAAGGUCUCUCAGUGCGGUGAGGGUUCUGCGGGAGCUACAGCCACGCUCGCGGACGCGCCCGGGGCGGGGUCUCGCUCCCGCGAGGGCCGGGCUAGGCUUCUUCUGGUCUGUAUUUGGCUUUAUCUCUAGGUGUCCUGGACCGCUGCCUGGCUACAGUUAUCUGUUUCACAUCAGUUGCCUAUCCAUCCUUGGAACGUUCGGCCCCUUAGCGAUGCGGCCUGUUGAGAGCACUGGCAUCAGUGUGCUCACAGUAUCCCAGGAGACGCCUGCCUUUGCAGUUCAGAGUCUGGAUAGAAUUGUUUCCAGCUGUGGGUCGGUGGGCCAGAAAAAAUCUCAGAGCCCAAGUUCCUUCCUGCAUAAAGUGGAGAGUUGCUUACUAUAUACAAGGUCUACUUUAGCAUCACAUAUCGACCUUGUCAAGAUGUCCUACGUGUCCUAAAUUCAUCUUUUCAUGGUAAAUUAUAACACCACAAGACUAGUUUCCCUGCUACAAUGAUCAGCCUUUGAAUUAUUUAUAAAUAGUACUGGCUGAAAAAAAUCCUUCUUCCACUCAUAAAGAUUUUAACAAUCCCCAAGGUAUCUCUUGCAGGUUUGAAAAAGAGAAGGAACUAAAAUGCUUAUUUUUAUACUUAAAGGAAAAUAAAAUUUUGCCUUCAGACCC